GUACUUGCUUCGGCAGUACAUAUACUAAACUUGGAACGAUACAGAGAAGAUUAACAUGUCCCUGCACAAGCCGGUGGCGGAGUAUUACAGUGUAGGCAAUGUUUUC